GAACUCCAAGGAUUAUAUGAUCACCAGAGUCUGACAGUAUUGUCUGUCCCUUCACAGCUCUGUGCUUUUUUUCCAGUAUGAGGCAGCUGCAUCAUGAUGUGCCGGAUGAAUAAGCGGGCAGUAAGGGAAAAGGCAAAAUUCAGAAGGAACUUUGCCUUAACUGCUCCUGUGAAGCCUGUGCCCAUGGAAAUACAGUAUGACAGUGCUCCUCUCCAUAAACUCCAGCAUGGAUGAAUCUAAGGAACAGUGGAGACCCAGGUGCUGAGGAAAAAGCAAGAGUAAGAAAAGAGAUGAAAGAACUUGUAACCAAGGUUGCUUGUGUCAGAUUCUUGAUGAACAGCAAGGUUCAGUUUCCAUUGCUGUUGGGAAUCUUUUAACAGCAAGAAAACAAAUCUGUGAAGAAGGAAACAUACAAAGUUACAAG